AUGUUUCUUGUUACAUUUCAAGUAGAAACUCAGGCAGGGUUUUCAUAGAUGUGGCAUAAAGUAGUUUGAUUUUAGUAUCCCCUAGACCGUCUUGUCUUUAAAAUUCCCAGUGUGUCUUUUGUUGUUGUCCUUUUUUUGGUUUGUGUUUGUCUUUAUUUCCUGUUCUUUGUUUUAGACUGGUUCUUGUUCUAUAGCGCAGACUAGCCUAGAACAUAAGACCUGCUACUUCAGCUUUGGAGUGCCGGGGUUAUAGGUAUGACAUCUGGCUAAAGAAAGAUUUCAUUGUUUUAAAAAGAUUUUUUUUUUUAAAUUUAAUUUUCAAACAAGAUCUUUCUAUUUAGCCCAGGCUGGCCUCAGUACUGAGGUUACAGGGUGCAUAGCACAAUACCUGCCAUGAAGUUUCCAAUAUGUACAACAUAAGUUAUUUCCUUCCAGUUAUAUAAGAUUAAUUUCUACUGGCUUCUUGCUGUUAGGAAUUGGUGCAGUUUUAUUGAUUCCCGAAGAGGUAGAAAGAAGAUAAUCUUGUUGGUAUAUCUAUUCUGAAAGUAUAGAGAAUAAUUAUAACCAAGGUAGGAAAUUAGAGUUAACUUUUUGUGACUCAGAUCAGACUUAUUUAUAUAUAAGGGAAAUAGUCAUAUUUUUACAUGACUACAUAUUUACAUAAUUACAAAUUGAUUCUUUAAAGAGACAUUUUGUUUGAAGCUGGUGUUGAUGUACAAAUAUAUCACUGGACAUAUGCGAGAAUUCUAAAAAGAAUAAACAUUGAUAAAUCAAGAUUAACACAUUUUAUUUUUACCUUAGAAAAUUCUUGUGGUAUGUUUUAUUAGCUUUCUCUAAAAUAGGAGAUGUUUGUAAAUACACAUACCCAUUAUCUUCUCAACAAGGAAUAAUUUUUUGUAAUAUAUUUAGUGUGAUCUCUGAUUUCCAACUUUUUAUGUAGUAAUGAUGAUUGCCAUAAUUCUUUCAUUCUCUGUUGGUAUAAAUAGUUUAAUUUCAAAUUUAAGUGACUAUUCUCUAGAUAUUUUGUUAAAUUUCAUAAGUUUCAUAGGAGAGUUAGAAUGGUUUGAUUUACUAUUCCUAAUUAGAAUCAUUGGGCCUAUGUGCCCUUUGGUUUUGAUGCUCAAAAAGACUAUUUUGCAGCUUCCUGAGUCUGUUUUGUUUUUAUGAUUGCUUCAGCUUGCACACGGUGAGUGUCAGAAGUAUUUCACAUCGUUCAUUUUCUGCUAGUUUGUCUGUCAUUGCUAGGCGACUCAUCUGUGAUUUUAAUGUUUGUUUGUUUGUUUGUUUGUUUGUUUGUUUGUUUUUUCAUUUCUACAAAGUGUAGUAUAGGUUUCAUGCCCCACCCCCUUUGCUUGUGGCACACGUGCAAUUUAGGUAGAUUCCUUUUGGUUUUCUGGACUUAACGCCUCAUUCUCAUUGUGCUGGAAUAGACACUGAUAAAGAAAACGGCUCAUCACUUGCUUUUCUAAUGCAUUAGCAGUCUAAGAAAUAUCUGGAUAUCUAUGCAUGUGUAGCAAUUCUUUGACCGUAGGCUGCACUCUGAAUUUUUCAUUCAUGUGUGUCCAAAGCAAUAGUUAACAUUUACUUGAUCCUCUGGAGUCCUGUAGACAUUACAAGCUGUUUAGGAUAAGCUAGUCUUUAGAGAUGGCUUCUCUUCUCCUGUCUAGCAGUGGCAUAGUUUAGAAGAACAGAUGUAAAGCUGUGGUCUGAGUGUUCCUGAAAGUGCUGGCCUGCCGGCAUGCCUUCUACACAGCACUGUGCGCACUAAUGCUCGUGACUCCGUGGUCAGGCCAUUUUCACUGAGACGGUCAAGGAGAGGAAGUCCUCCAAGCAGCAUUCGUUAGCUAGAUAAAUGCUGUUCACUUCUGACAAUAUUCAUGGAAAUUUCCAUUUAUUCCCAUUUGAAGUAAUAAAUUAACAGAGACAAGGAAACUCUAUCUUUCCUAUUCUUUUUCUAUUUCAGUUUAAUGUGACAAAGAAACCAUCCACCUACCCUAAGUUCACUAGAUGACCAAGGUUAUGUGUGUGUUUAAAAAGUGACUCAUUUUUCCUUCAUAGAAAGUAGUAAUUUUAUUAGUUUUAAUAUUUUAUUUAAGUUUAGUAGUGACUAUACCCACGAUAGCAAAUUUAGCUACUUAAGAAUAUUUGAUUUCUCUAGCAGAAGCCUAAACUCCCCAUACAGAUAAUUUUCUACCUUGAGAAGGUUAGGUUGUCACAACCUAAUAAAAGUGACUUUUAGGAAAAAUAUAAAUCUUCACACUGGAAAUCUGUGUAGGGAGUUAAUUCCACAAGUUCACAUAAAGUUGUAUUUUUAACUGUAUUUUCAAUGUUCACCAUUAUUUUGAGGGGCUUUUUAUUUUGAUGUUUAGGAAUUUUAAUCUUUAAUUUUUCUUUUUCUGAUAUUGCUUAAUUCUUAGGUGUGAGCUGAGAUGUAAUUCCUUACUUAUAAAUAUAACUCUCAGUUAAAAUUGCCUCCACUGACAUUCAAAGCUCUAAUUGGAAUUUACAAAGUCCGUGGGAAUUCCUUCAAACUGAUAAGUGCUCCGCAGUUUCAGUUCCCAACAUCUCAGGGUUGGAGCUCACUCAGCUUGCAGUUAUGUGAGAGGAUGAAGGUGGAUGUGUCCCUGCUGCAGCUCAGCACACAGCAGCCGCUGCUUCCCGGGUGAUAGGCCCUUUAACAGGCUAGGAGAAGGAACCGGCCAGCUUCAAGUCUUUCCUUAGGAAAUGUUUAUAAAAUGGAGAGAACGCAGUUUCUUUUACACCCACUCCAAAGGAAGUUCAAAGCACAGCACUGGGGUUCUCAUUGUUCUUUGGCAGUGUCCUCACAAUUCCGCACGAGUGGUUCAUACCUCCACCUUAAGCUUUUCCAUAGCGUUCUUCUUCUACUGUUUCUCAAGACCGCCAUCUUGGUGUCCCCUUAGACAGAGCGUGCUAUCAUUCCAAAUCUCUCUACUCUUGAACUGUCCCAGCAAGUUCCUGUACCGGUCUUCCACUCUGUUUGCGGAAGGUCCCGAUGCUCGAUGCUCGCCCUUUUCUCCUUGGAUGUCCUGCACAUCUGAAAGCUUGGCUUUCCCGUUUUCCCCUUGCUGCUUCAUUGCCUUACUCUUGCUACUACACCCAAAACCUUUUUAUUUGUUUAAACUCUGGCGUUAAACUUCUUCCUUUCUGCUUCGGUUCUGACCUGAGGCUCUUUUCCUUUCCUCUCUGAUCCAUGCGCCUCCUGUCACCCAUUUAGUCCACAGUUGCAUGGUGAUCCACCUCAUGUAAGACGAGGUGCCCUUCCUUCUUUGCCCUGUAGCACUCAUAAAGCCAUGCGUAUUCUGUAAGUAUUUAUUAAAUGUAUGGAAAAACAACAUAGGCACAAUGCUCCUGGGCUCCCAUUUUUUUCAAAUGGUCCACUCAGACGAAUCAUUAGAGUUUAGUACUUAGAGCCAUCCUGGGUGGCAUGCAAGACCCCUUUUCAGAGGAACAAAAAUAACAAGAAUAGAAAAUGAAUUAUUUUAUGUGCUCAUAAUAUGUAAUUAAAACAUCUUGGCUGGAAGCUGGGGGAUGGUGGCUCAUGCCCUUAAUUCUAGCACUGGGAGGCAGAGGCAGGCAGAUCUGUUGAGGUCAAGGCCACUCUCUUGGCUAUAAUUAGAGUUCCAGGACAGCUAGGGUUAUACAGU
rnacentral:lncRNA from 1 species